AGAACGAACGCUGGCGGCAGGCUUAACACAUGCAAGUCGAACGCCCCGCAAGGGGAGUGGCAGACGGGUGAGUAACGCGUGGGAAUCUACCCAGUUCUACGGAAUAACACAGGGAAACUUGUGCUAAUACCGUAUACGCCCUACGGGGGAAAGAUUUAUCGGGAUUGGAUGAGCCCGCGUAAGAUUAGCUAGUUGGUGGGGUAAUGGCCUACCAAGGCGACGAUCUUUAGCUGGUCUGAGAGGAUGAUCAGCCACACUGGGACUGAGACACGGCCCAGACUCCUACGGGAGGCAGCAGUGGGGAAUAUUGGACAAUGGGCGCAAGCCUGAUCCAGCCAUGCCGCGUGAGUGAUGAAGGCCUUAGGGUUGUAAAGCUCUUUCAGUGGGAAGAUAAUGACGGUACCCACAGAAGAAGCCCGGCUAACUUCGUGCCAGCAGCCGC
rnacentral:rRNA from 1 species